UUCCGAUUUAGCUCAGCGGUAGAGCGCUCGCCUGUUAAGCGAUUGGUCGCUGGUUCGAAUCCAGCAAUCGGAGU
rnacentral:tRNA from 15 species